AUUGAACGCUGGCGGCAGGCCUAACACAUGCAAGUCGAGCGGAUGAAGAGAGCUUGCUUUCUGAUUCAGCGGCGGACGGGUGAGUAAUGCCUAGGAAUCUGCCUGGUAGUGGGGGACAACGUUUCGAAAGGAACGCUAAUACCGCAUACGUCCUACGGGAGAAAGUGGGGGAUCUUCGGACCUCACGCUAUCAGAUGAGCCUAGGUACGAUUAGCUAGUUGGUGAGGUAAAGGCUCACCAAGGCGACGAUCGUUAACUGGUCUGAGAGGAUGGUCAGUCACACUGGAACUGAGACACGGUCCAGACUCCUACGGGAGGCAGCAGUGGGGAAUAUUGGACAAUGGGCGAAAGCCUGAUCCAGCCAUGCCGCGUGUGUGAAGAAGGUCUUCGGAUUGUAAAGCACUUUAAGUUGGGAGGAAGGGCAGUAAGUUAAUACCUUGCUGUUUUGACGUUACCGACAGAAUAAGCACCGGCUAACUUCGUGCCAGCCGCCGCCGUAAGAC
rnacentral:rRNA from 1 species